rnacentral:tRNA from 2 species
UUCGACGUAGUCUAAUGGCAGAAUAGCUUCUCCCCAGGCUGAGAGCGUGAGUUCGAUUCUCGUCGUCGACUCCA